rnacentral:rRNA from 1 species
CCCGUCUUGAAACCCGAACCAAGGAGUGCAAGAGGCACGCGAGUCUGAAGGGUGGUGAGCGUUCGGUUACGUCCGAUCGCGUUCCCGAGAGACCCUCGGGAGGCGAAGUGAGAGCAAGUGGUUGUUCGAUCGGGUGCGAGAGCCCCNUNGAAGGGCGCAUCGCAAACCGAGCCUUCGGUCACGCCGUGGCCGGCUUCGAGCUAGAGCGUACACGUUGSGACCCGAAAGAUGGUGAACUAUGCCUGAGUAGGUUGAGGCCAGAGGAAACUCUGGUGGAGGCCCGCAGCGGUUCUGACGUGCAAAUCGAUCGUCGCACUUGGGUAUAGGGGCGAAAGACUAAUCGAACCRUCUAGUAGCUGGUUCCCUCCGAAGUUUCCCUCAGGAUAGCUGGAGCCGUGGUCGUUGUCAGUUUCGUCGGGUAAAGCGAAUGAUUAGAGGUAUCGGGGUCGAAAGGACCUCGACCUAUUCUCAAACUUUGAAUCGGCGAGCGUUGUCGGGAGGUCCUUGCCUGCGGGAAGGUCCCUGCCAGACGUUGUCGGAAUGAAAAGGCUCCUGGUGGGCCGUUUUUGGUAAGCAGAACCGGCGAUGCGGGAUGAACCGAAAGUCGGGCUAAGGCGCCGGAGUCGACGCUGAGUUAGAUCCCAUGAAAGGUGUUGGUUGAU